UGGUUACCUGUAGUUUCGGUCUGAGCAACAUAAGCAUUUUUGGGUGGUCGACCAUGUAAAGAAUGGCACACGUCACGAGUGUGACCAAGUUUAUAACAAUAAGAACACUCUAGAUCUUCCAAAACGACCUCCUUCUCGUUUAUACUCCAUAUUAUGAGAUGCCCGAUUAUCCACUGGUUGGGAUACGAGGAUAGAUGAAUCAAGUGUUUGGGAUGAGCUCACUGGGUGACUUGGUGCUGCAGCAAUGCGAAGUAAGCGAGAGAAUAAUUCAUCAACUGUGGGGACAGUCGGACUAGCCAAAAUCUGAUCGCGUACU
rnacentral:lncRNA from 1 species